rnacentral:rRNA from 1 species
GUGCCAGCAGCCGCGGUAAUACGUAGGCAGCAAGCGUUGUUCGGAAUUACUGGGCGUAAAGAGUUCGUAGGCGGUGUGCCAAGUUUGGUGUGAAAUCUCCCGGCUCAACUGGGAGGGUGCGCCGAAUACUGGCAUGCUCGAGUACAGGAGAGGAAAGCGGAAUUUCUGGUGUAGCGGUGAAAUGCGUAGAUAUCAGAAGGAACACCUGUGGUGUAGACGGCUUUCUGGACUGUAACUGACGCUGAGGAACGAAAGCGUGGGUAGCAAACAGGAUUAGAUACCCUGGUAGUCC